rnacentral:rRNA from 1 species
CAUUCCUACGGGCGGCAGCAGUGGGGAAUUUUGGACAAUGGGCGCAAGCCUGAUCCAGCAAUGCCGCGUGUGUGAAGAAGGCCUUCGGGUUGUAAAGCACUUUUGUCCGGAAAGAAAACUUUCGUCCUAAUAUGAUGCGAGGAUGACGGUACCGGAAGAAUAAGCACCGGCUAACUACGUGCCAGCAGCCGCGGUAAUACGUAGGGUGCGAGCGUUAAUCGGAAUUACUGGGCGUAAAGCGUGCGCAGGCGGUUUGUUAAGACCGAUGUGAAAUCCCCGGGCUUAACCUGGGAACUGCAUUGGUGACUGGCAGGCUUGAGUAUGGCAGAGGGGGGUAGAAUUCCACGUGUAGCAGUGAAAUGCGUAGAGAUGUGGAGGAAUACCGAUGGCGAAGGCAGCCCCCUGGGCCAAUACUGACGCUCAUGCACGAAAGCGUGGGGAGCAAACAGGAUUAGAUACCCUUGUAGUC